AAAUUACGUCUGUUGCACUAAAACCGUCAUGAAGGGUGACGAAACUGUGACCAGUACACCUGCCGUCGAUGCAGUUCUAGUUUACGGUCCACCGUGAAACCACAGACUUCCUUACCUAGGCCAUAUUAUUGAAGGAUAAAGUCGCUUCUGAGCAGUUGAAAAGAAGUAUCAAAACAAAAGGGACUUCAUCUCCUGGCCGCUUUUGGACACUUCAGAGAGGCUGUGCUAAGUACAGAUGACUAUUAGAAUGUGUGUCCUGUGAGAGAGGUCGACGUGCUGUUGGUAUAACGCCCAGUAAAACUUGAACAAUUCUACUAUGAGGACAUGCAUUACUGGGGAAAAAAAAAACUGACUUGUAACAUUAGAUGAUAUAGCAGCAAAUCCUACACAAGAUUUAGCUCUGUCCAUAUAGAAUAUACAUCUUAUAUUUUACACAGUAAGUUAUGAUGUCUGGGAUAUAUGCAGUUUUAUAUUAGAUGGUUGAAGUGUAGCAGACAUGAAUUUUAUGCGUUAUCCAAGGAAGAAAUUCUAGUGUUGGAGGAAGUUUAAUGUUUACAUUCAUUGAGUCAAACAGAAUUUUUAGCCAACAGAGGACAAAGUUGGAUGAUUACUUACAAAAAUAACUGCUUUUAUGAAUUUUUAAAGAGAGGAUUUGAACACUCCAGUGAGCAUUCAAAUCCUUCACUGGGGAUUGGAUCUAAGAUUUUCAGUGUCAAGUAUGAUGCUGAGCUGUAUAUUUGGCUUCCACAGUCUAAAAUAAGGCAGAUGGUUUGUCUAGUAUCACGAGAUAUUAUCUGACAGGGUAAGAAAAGCAAAAAGCAAAGGAGAAAAGGCUAAUUUAGCUAGUCAGUUUAUAAAUCUGAAUCCUCUAAUGAUAUUUAGACUUAGAUGGUCUCCAUUACCUCCAAACCAAAUCAAUGUAUCACAGCCUGAAGGGGAGAUCAGUUCUGUACCCCUACAGAAUUGUUGAGUAUAAGUAUAAAAAUUAAGUUUAACCAAACCACUAGCUAAUUCUGAAAGCACUUGCAAACUCUU